rnacentral:ncRNA from 1 species
ACAGUGUCGCAAUAGUAAUCCAACAUAAUACUGGAGGAACCGUUGAUUCGCACAAUUGGUCAUCGUGCUUGGUUGAAAAGCCAGUGGCGCGAAGCAACUGUGCUUUGGGACCUCUAAGUUAGAAUCAGGGCUAAAAUAGAUACACGCGCCCACUGCCCGAUUUCCAACCAGCAGUAGGGGCCUCAUGGUCCCCAAAGUCACAUGUCGUUGGCAAAGCACUCGCGGUGGAUAAGCCGUUCAUGUUACCUUAAAUGACAAUUCCUAUCAAUCAGUGGGUAGAAUCCUUUGUAGACGAGUUAAAUACGCGAUGGGGUAUUGUAAGUGACAGAGUGGCCUUUCUACCAAGAUCCACUGAGAUUCAGCUCUCUGUCGCUCCGAUUU